AAACUUUGUAAACAACUCGUACACGCUGCUUCGGAACCCAUUUAUCCCUUUAAAUACGUUUGGACGCGACGGCGCUGCUUGCGAGACUGCCUGGAGACCGAAAACAGAUCCGGAUCUUGAAACCCUGAAACCAUCUCAUAUAAAAAUAAUCCAUUUUCCAUCCAAGACAUGAGAAAUGAUGUGAUGAACAGAAAGCAAGCACCAUCUGAAAGCCUGCAAUGGCCCUUAAUAAGAAACUUUGGAGCAUCUAGUGGCAUCAUGGACAUAGCUGAAGAUCCGACCUCAACUGCGAGCAAACCAUUCAAUGAAUGGGAUCCCACCAGUGGUGAGGAUUGGGAGUUUUUUUUCCCAAGAAUGUUUCUCAGGUGUCUGUAAGGCGGGGAUUUACAUUUUCUCAGGACAUGCAGCCCGUGGAGAGAGGCCUGCUGGCAGAUCAAAGGCUCCGGCUGUAAAACGAUCUGAAAGAGUCCAGCAUUAGCAUCCAUCAGGGUACCUUGAAAGCUCCCUGAUCAGCCGAAAGGGAAGCUGAGGGCCCCCCAAAGUGAAAGCCCAGUCUGGAGAGGGGUGGUGGGAGUGUGGGGGCUAAAAUGAGGGUGGACAGAAAGGAAGAGGAGUGGAGGGAGGGAAAGAGAAGAAAAACUCCCAUAACAAACUGCAAAUGUUAUAAUUUCUCUAUCGGCUUCACCCUCAGCUUGAGAACAUCUCUGUCGCUGGUGCCCUUACAUGCCGAGGGGAUGUUGGAUGCUGAAAACAAGUUGAGGAUUCUGAUCAGGAGGAAGCUAACUUACCGUACUUAUUUGUUAUUUUUUCCUAGCGGUCGACGAACAGGAGGCAGCAGAAGGAGGACGCUCCAUCUAUCCUGCUGUAGGUUCUUAACAUGUGUGAUAGGGAUCAAAAUUAGACCUGCAUUCCUGGUGUGUUCCAGCACUGCAAUGUUUGUCUCUUUUUCAAUAAUAAAAAG